rnacentral:misc_RNA from 1 species
GCUGCUGAGAAGUACCUUGAAUAUGUGUUGCAGUCUGCUCUUGCCUCCUCAGAGUGACGUAGAAUGCUUUUCUUUGAACAUCGCCUUCACUUCAGCUCGUAGUGCCUUGCCUGUCAAAACGUUUGGUAAAUGAGAUUGGGAUUGAUUUUCUUUCGACUCGUUUGCUAUUUUUAUCCUUCACUUUUUGUAUGUGCCAUGAUGGUGUAUUCUCAACACUGCAGAUAACUCAUUGACUCAUUAUGAUGUGUAAUUUGAACAGGAAAAAGUUUAUGG